rnacentral:rRNA from 1 species
GGACCCGCACAAGUAGUGGAGCAUGUGGUUUAAUUCGAAGAUACGCGCAGAACCUUACCAACACUUGACAUGUUCGUCGCGACUCUAAGAGAUUAGAGUUUUCGGUUCGGCCGGACGAAACACAGGUGCUGCAUGGCUGUCGUCAGCUCGUGUCGUGAGAUGUUGGGUUAAGUCCUAUAACGAGCGCAACCCCUGUUGUUAGUUGCCAUCGAGUAAUGUCGGGAACUCUAACGGAACUGCCGGUGCAAACCGUGAGGAAGGUGGGGACGACGUCAAAUCAUCACGGCCCUUACGUCCUGGGCCACACACGUGCUACAAUGGUAGGUACAGAGGGAAGCCACCCCCGCGAGGGGGAGCGGA